CAGUCGCCACGGGAAUACGUAGGUGGCGAGCGUUGUCCGGAAUUAUUGGGCGUAAAGGGAGCGCAGGCGGACAUAUAAGUCCAUCUUAAAAGUGCGGGGCUCAACCCCGUGAGGGGAUGGAAACUGUAUGCCUUGAGUGCAGGAGAGGAAAGCGGAAUUCCCAGUGUAGCGGUGAAAUGCGUAGAUAUUGGGAGGAACACCAGUGGCGAAGGCGGCUUUCUGGACUGUAACUGACGCUGAGGCUCGAAAGCCAGGGGAGCGAACGGGAUUAGAUACCCCUGUAGUCCCUGUCUCUUAUACA
rnacentral:rRNA from 1 species